CCUACGGGAGGCAGCAGUAAGGAAUAUUGGUCAAUGGACGCAAGUCUGAACCAGCCAUGCCGCGUGAAGGAUUAAGGCCCUCUGGGUUGUAAACUUCUUUUAUAGGGGACGAAAAAAGGGCAUUCUUGCUCACUUGACGGUACCCUAGGAAUAAGCACCGGCUAACUCCGUGCCAGCAGCCGCGGUAAUACGGAGGGUGCAAGCGUUAUCCGGAUUUACUGGGUUUAAAGGGUGCGUAGGUGGGUUGGUAAGUCAGUGGUGAAAUCUUCGAGCUUAACUCGGAAACUGCCAUUGAUACUAUCAAUCUUGAAUCAUCUAGAGGUAAGCGGAAUAUGUCAUGUAGCGGUGAAAUGCUUAGAUAUGACAUAGAACACCAAUUGCGAAGGCAGCUUACUAUGGAUGUAUUGACACUGAGGCACGAAAGCGUGGGGAUCAAACAGGAUUAGAUACCCUGGUAGUCCACGCCCUAAACGAUGGAUACUCGACAUUUGUGAUAUACUAUAAGUGUCUGAGCGAAAGCAUUAAGUAUCCCACCUGGAAGUACGACCGCAAGGUUGAAACUCAAAUGAAAUUGAGG
rnacentral:rRNA from 1 species